CCAAUGGCCCUGGACCAGUGUCUGUCAGCCAGGUUCCCAGCCCCCGAUGCGCUGAAGCUCAAGCCUUUCCUGGCACCCUGGUCUCCUGCACUGAGCUGUGUGAGCUCUUCGGCCCAAGUGGUCCCCCCGGCCUUAAGCGGCAUAGAUGGUGAGCCUGGAGGAAGACUCGUGUUGGGCCCACAGGCCCCAGGCCAGUGUACGUCAGCCAGGUGCUCAGCCCAUGGUGUGCUGAAGCUCUGACCCUUCCUGACUCCGUGGUCUCCUGCACUGAGCUGUGAUGACCAUAUCCAGUGAGCUCUUCCAAACAGGUGGGCUCCCUAGCAUUGACCGACAGAGUGAGCUCUGCCACCCAGGACAUCCCCCUGGCAUUGACUGGCAUAGAUGCUGACCCUGGAGGAAGACUUGUGUCGGGCCCCCAGGCCCCAGGCCAGUGUCCAUCAGCCAGGUGCUCAGCUCCCAGUGCGCUGAAGCUCAGACCCUUCCUGGCACCCUGGUGUCCAGCACUGAGCUGUGUGAGCUUUUCCACCCAGGUGGGCCCCCUGGCAUUGACCGACAUAGAUGAUGAGACUGGAGGAAGACUUCCAUUGGGCCCACUUUUCCUGGGCCAGUGUCCAUCAGCCAGGUGCUCAGCCCCUGGUGUACUGAAGCUCCAGCCUUUCCUGGUGCCCCAGUCUUCUGCACUAAGCUGUGUGAGCUCUUCCACCCAGGAGGGCCCCUUGGCAUUGACUGGCAUAGAUGGUGAGACGGGAGGAAGACUUGUGUUGGGCCUGCUGUUCCUGGGCCAGUGGCCAUCAGCCUGUUGCCCAGCCCCUGAGGCGCUGAAGCUCAGGCCCUUCCUCACACCCUGGUCUCCUGCACUAGCUGUGUGAGCUCUUCUGCCCAGGUGGGGCCCAUGGCCUUACACGACAUAGGAGCACGCAUUUCUUGAAGUCCUGCAAAGGUGAUGGUGGUCCAGACAGGAGAGGGUUCCUUCAGCCCAACAUAGCGCAGCUCCCAGCUGAAACUCGGAAGGCUGGUCAGGCCUCGAGGACUGCCCAGGCCACAUGAGGGUUUGGUGGCCGGGAGGGCCAAUGAUGCUCUGCGUCUGUGUUGGAUCAGUGUUCUUCAUGGAUUCCAUCACAUGGUGAGCCUUGAGGAAGACUUGUAUUGGGCCCCCACAGGCCCCAGGCCAGUGUCCGUCAGCCUGGUGCUCACCCCCAGUGUGCUGAAGCUCAGACCCUCCGUGGCACCCUGGUCUCCUGCACUGAGCUGUGUGAACUUUUCCUCCCAGAUGGGCCCCCUGGCAUUGACUGGCAUAGAUGGUGAGACCGGAGGAAGACUUGCAUUGGGCCUGUUGUUCCUGGGCCAGUGGCCAUCAGCCUGUUGCCCAGCCCCUGAUGCGCUGAAGCUCGGGCCCUUCCUCGCGCCCUGGUCUCCUGCACUGAGCUGUGUGAGCUCUUCUGCCCAGGUGAGGCCCAUGGCCUUAAGCGGCAUAGAUGGUGAGUCUGGAGGAAGACUUGUGUUGGACCCCCACAGGCCCCAGGCCAGUGUCCAUCAGCCUGGUGCUAAUCCCCCAGUGCUCUGGAGUUUGGACCCUCCCUGGCACCCUGGUCUCCUGCACUGAGCUGUGUGAGCUCUUCCACCCGGGCGGGCCCCCGGCAUUGACUGGCAUAGGUGGUGAGCCCGGAGGAGGACUUGCGUUCGGCCCGCUGGUCCCAGUGUGUCCGGAAUUGGUGGGUUCUUGGUCUCACUGACUUCAAGAAUGAAGCUGCGGACCCUCGCUAUGAUGAUAUGGAAGAAAAGCACUCUUUGGCCUGUUGUGACUGGGACAGUUGACAGCACCCAGGUGUCCUUUAAUGAAAAUGCUCUUGACACCAAUGCAUCCUAGCAUCACAGCUUCAGGAAGCCUUCUCAAGUGUGCAUGGGGAGUACUAUGUCUUUCAUCAAUAAUGAAAUCUUCUGAUUUGUAAGACAUGCUGCCAAGAGAUGUGCCAUUCUAUUAUAAAAGAUCAGUAGCUUCCUUUACCGACGUGUAUAUUCUAUCUAGAACAUUGAGCUAUGGAAGACUCCCACCUAAGGGAAUUAGUUUUACACCUUCAGAUAAAGACUGCUGAGAAGAGCACCCUCUGGUGUUGUCACAGAGGCAAGUGCUACCGCACAGGCAUGCUGCAGUGAAUUUAACUGAUCCUCUGUCCCUGCAACCGUUGUUUAAGGAUGCUAUUCUGAAAAGACUGUGGAGGAAGAAAACCCUUUACCCUGUUGUUCAGGGAGAAACUGACACCACUCAACUGCCUGGCACUGAAAAUGUGGCAUCCAGUCCACUUUACCAUCAGUGUUUAAGGAAACCAUCUCUGAUAAGGAUGACUGAGGAAGAGUACUCUUUGGCUUGUUGACACCAGCACAGCUGACACACCCAGAUAUCUGUUUGGUCUCCUGUGAACUUUCAACCAGGAUUUAAGGAUGCCACUCUGGUUAAAAGCUGAAACAACUUCAAGGAAACUUCAGGGAAAAGAGAAGGCCUGGAAUCUGAUCCUCCACUUCAGAGAACAGGGGUGGUGGAGUCUAUGGCCCUUCUCCUUGAAUCUGAGUGAAAUUAGUGAGUCUUUCAAUCCAAAGACUACAGUCAUACCUCAACUAUCUACAGAGGACUGGUUCCAGGACUCCCAUGGAUCCCAAAAUCCAAGGAUGCUUCGAAUCCCUUAUAUAAAAUGGCAUGGUAUUUGCAUAUAACCUACAUGCAUCUUCAAAUAUGUUAAACCAUCUCUAGAUUACUUAUAAUACCAAAUACAAUGUAAUGCUAUGUAAACAGUUGUUACAAUGUAUUGUCAAAGACAAGCUCUCCUUGCCAAUCCCUGACCAAAUGAGAGAUUCAUGAGCAAAAUAAAUAGUUGCUGAUAUUUAAGGCACUAAGUUUGGGGCAAUGUAUUACACAGCAAUAAAUAACUGGAACAGCAUAGUAAAUUCUAGUUAAAAAUACUAAACUACUAAGUUUUAGUUAACAUACAUGCUCAAGUUAAGGGUGUGGUAUACUAACAACUGCAACUUACUUUGAAAAGCAUAAAAAAAGACACUAGAAGAAGACAGGAUGGAUAGAUGGACAAGAUAGAAGACAAUAACAAAUAGAACAAAAUGUUGUGAAAUUAUAUUCUACAAUUAUUUUAAAGUCUGUGUGGUUUGAAAAAUUGUACGAUAAAAUGAAGAGUGAAAUAAAGACAUUUCCAUACAAACAAAAGCUGAAAGAUUUUGUAGCCAGUAGACCUAUACUUUAGAAAUGUUUAAGAAAUUUUUUCAAGUAAAAGGAAAAUAACACCAGCAACAAACUUGGAUCUACAAAAAGGAAUCUCCACAAAGAAAAAUAAAUAAAAAUGGUAAAUAUGAAGGUAAAUAUAAAGGAAUGUUAUUCUUAGUUUUUAAGUUUCUUCGUAAGACAACUGGCCUUUGAAAGAAAUAGUUUCAAACGCUGCUGUGGAAUCUAUAACACAUAUAGAAGUAAAAUGUUAAGAUCAUAAUACCAAAAAGAAUGAGGGAGAGUAAAUGGAUGUAUACUAUUCCAAAAUUCUUACAUUAUACAUUAAGAGGAAUAAUAUUUUUGAAGGUAGAUUGAGGUAAGUUAAAGGUGCAUAUUGUAAAUCCUAGAAGUAUCACUGGGGGGAAAAAAAACAGAGGGACAAGCUAAUAAUGGAGACAAUACAAAAUUCCAAAAAUGCUCCAUUAACCGAAAAGAAGGCAGAAAAGGAAGAAAAGAUUAGACAAAUAGAAAACAAAUAGUGUCUUAAACACAAUUAUAUUGCCAACUGCAAUAAAUGUAAAUGGACUUAAUCAAAAAGCAACGAUCGUAAAAAGUCAAUCUGAAAGCAAGAUGCAACUAUAUGCUAUCUAAAAGAAAGACAUUAAAUGACCAAUAAGCUGAAAAUAAAAACACAGCAAAAUGAUAUAAUGUGCAAAAAUUAAUCAUAAGAAAGGAAUGGAUACACUAAUAUCAAAGUAGACUUUAGAUAAGGAACAUUACCAGCGAUAAACAGAGACAUUUCAUAAUGAUAAAGACAUCAAUUAAUCAAGGAGAUCUAACAGUCCUAAAUGUGAACACACCUAAGGACACAA
rnacentral:lncRNA from 1 species